rnacentral:lncRNA from 10 species
GACUACAGGAGGAGCUGGAUUUCACCCUACCGGGACCCACUCUACUGCUUUCUGACCACUGAGUUAAAAACCCACAGUUGCCUGGCGGGGACAUGGAGGCCCACGGAGUACCUGGCAGGCCCACAGUCCACAGGUUGGAAAGAGGUGCCCAAGCCCUGGACUUUAAGCCUGGGCUCUGACCUUCAACGUUUGCUUUUCACACCACACAUCAUGUCAAUAAAUAGUUACUGGAUGCCUGUUGUGUGCCAGGCCCCAAGACGGGUGUUGCGUGACUGACAACAGAAAAAGCAUCUCAGUGGCGAGGGAUAAGCUAGAUCAUGGGCAUUAGUGUAAAUCUCCCAGGGUUCAAAUUCCAGCUUCUCCACUUCCUGGCUAUGAUUUUUUUUUUUUUUUAGACGGA